rnacentral:rRNA from 1 species
UACGGAGGGGGCUAGCGUUGUUCGGAAUUACUGGGCGUAAAGCGCACGUAGGCGGAUUGGAAAGUUGGGGGUGAAAUCCCGGGGCUCAACCUCGGAACUGCCUUCGAUACUGCGGGUCUCGAGUCCGGGAGAGGUGAGUGGAAUUCCUAGUGUAGAGGUGAAAUUCGUAGAUAUUAGGAAGAACACCAGUGGCGAAGGCGGCUCACUGGCCCGGUACUGACGCUGAGGCGCGAAAGCGUGGGGAGCAAACAGG